ACCUAAGUUCUUACACUGUAAUUUUGAAAAGAUACACAGUUCAAGUAAUCUAUAAAUGACUUGUAGAAUACUCUUCAUGACUCUUUGGUAGUCAGAUCCUAUAUAUUUUAUUUUUAUUUGUUAUAUUUAAUGACAUUUGUAUAAUUUAAACAUUCACUAACAUUAGAGUUUUCCUUUCUGACUUAACCCAUGUAACUUUAUUUUCUGAAAAAAAAAAAAAAGAACUAUAUACAGAGAGUUGUAUUUUAGUGUACAAUUAGGUUUGGAUGUGGACCUUCCAAAUUCAAAAUGUAGAAUUCCAGAUGUGAAUCCGUUGGAUGUUAUAAACUUGCCUUUAGAUUCCUUGUUGUGUAUUCCUGCACACUCUAGGGUAAAUUUUUAGGUGUGUUCUCUCACUUCCUGUGUGUACAUGAUAGGCGUGUUCUGCAGUAUAUAUCUUCAGUGCCAUGGAAGAGCCCAGAGCUCUGGGUACAUUGGUAGACUGCUCACCCACUGAGCCAUAGCCUCAACUCUACAGUUGCAUUUGGCAAACUACCUCACUUUAAUUAAGGUAUAUCCAAGUUCCCACACAUGCUCUGUGCUUUAGGACAAGAGAUAUCGAGAGACGGGUAGUAUCUGCUUCAUCAGAUGAAGCAUGGAGGUGUCCUUUGGGGGAAAGGGCAUUGCUAAGGCUUACCCCUGGGAGAUAGCUGAGGCAAGUAACAUUAUAAACUGGAUACUGAUUUAGUGCUGUUUGUGCCCUGGACUUCUGGUCAACCAACCCUACCUGUCCUUGGGGGUUAGAGGUAAGGUGACACAGAAUCAAUGACAUAUAACCCAGAAGCAGGUGAGAAACACUGUAGCAAAGCUUGUCUGAACACUGCUACAAGCUACUAUAAAUAUCCUCCACCCAUGCCCCAUUGGUCCCAAGAAAGCAUCUCUUUCAAACAGCCGUUCCCAAUUGGCUGGCAUGGUCUGCUUCAGCAUUCUUUGGUCUCUCAGAAAGUCUUCAAUUAGGUCCUGCUACAGGAGAUGCCUUUGCAGCUGCUCAGCCCCAGCAUUUACAUAAAGAUGGACACCACUGUUCCUCCUACAUUUAGCUCAAUUUUUACUAAGAUCAGAAGUUCGAUGAUGUGAGCAUCAGUGAGAAGAAACAUGACACAGUCAUACAGCUGAGCUGCCUACCCAUGUCUGGAUCCAGGAACAGGAAAAAAAAAAAUCUCUUCUAAAAGAAUGUUCCAAAGGACUAAAAAAACAUCCUGCAAGGUUCCACCUUUCAAAGAAUCCACCAUCGUCCACUAGUCCUGGCUUGAGGGACAAUCCUUGAGCAUAAGAACUCUGAGAGGACAUUCAUCCAAGCCCUAACACUCAACAAGGAAUGAGAGUCAGUCACCAAGACCCCAAAUCCAAGUGUCAGGCUCUGUUCUAUCUCCCUUUGUGCUCAUUGUUGUUUGUUUGUUUGUUUGUUUGUUGGGAGGUUUUUUUGUUUUUUGUUUUUCAAAAAUUUCUGGCUGGUUCUAUGAAUAGGCAUCUUCUAGAAUUCUGCUGGGGUUUUUUUGUUUGUUUGUUUGUUUGUUUGUUUUUGUUUUUCAAAAAUUUCUGGCUGGUUCUAUGAAUAGGCAUCUUCUAGAAUUCUGCUGGGGUUUUGUUUGUUUGUUUGUUUUGUUUUUUGUUUUUGCUUUUUUGUUUUUUUAACCAAGCAUCAAGUCUGAUGUUUAGUUGAAUCUACUGACUAUGGAAGACGUUUUCUUUAAAUGCUAUUUAAUGAGAUUUUCACAUCAGGUCCUAAGAUUUCCCCCCAUCCCAUUCUCAUGUGUAUGUAUGUGUGCCUGUCUAUACAUGUGUGUAUGUGUGCAUGUGCAUGUGGGAGGGUAUGUGUCCAUGUGUGUAUAUGUGUAUAUAUCUGGGUGUAUGUGUGCAUACAUAUGUAUAUUGUGUACAUGUGUAUGCAUGUAUGCUUGUGUGUGUUAUGCAUGUGUGUGCACGUAUAUAGACACACAUGUGGAUAUACAUGGAUUUGGAAGCUGAUGUCAGUAAAUACCCUGGAUUGUUCUUCCACUUUUUUCAGUGUGGUAGGGUCACUCAACCAAAUCCAGAGAUCACUGAUCUGUCUAGCCUCUAUAGCCAGCUUGCUCUGAGGAUCCCUUAUCUCUGUCUCCAAGGUUGGAAUCAUGAGUGGAUCAUCACACACACCUAUCAUGUGUACGGAUUCUGAUGACCUAAACUCUGAUACUUACACUUCCACAGCAAAUACUUACACACUGAACCACCUCCCCAGCCCAUGUCCUGAGAAUUUGAUUGGCUAGUUUGAAUCCAUUCUUUCUUCUUCCAUAGAUCUGCCAAUACUCUGACUGCCAACUUUAUGGCCAUUAUCAUUUUUAGUCCCUGUUUCCAAUCUGAGAGAGAAAAUACUUUGCAUUUUCCUUCUACUCCAAUGCAUCACCAAGGAGAGCCUGGACCAUUGUGAUGUUAGAGGUGUUACAUCACCAACUAGAGAGCAGAUGUGAAGCCAUUCAUGCAGUGGCUCCACUGCUUCACACCAUCUCUAGUGUCAAGAACCACACAUGGAUUUU
rnacentral:lncRNA from 1 species